GUCAGGCAUGAUGGCCCAUGCCUGUAAUCCCAGCAACUGGACUCAGGAGGCUGAGAUGGGAGGAUCACAAGUUCAAAACCAGCCUCGGCAACUUAGCAAGGCCCUAAAAAAUUCAGUGAGACCCUGUCUCUA
rnacentral:sRNA from 1 species